GAUAAACGCUGGCGGCGUGCAUGAGACAUGCAAGUCAUACGGGCGAGCUUGCUCGCCAGUGGCGGACGGCUGAGUAACGCGUAGGUGACCUGCCCCGAAGUGGGGAAUAACUGGCCGAAAGGGUGGCUAAUACCGCAUGAGGUGGUUCGUUCGUUCGGGCCAGCAAAGCAGCGAUGCGCUUCGGGAGGGGCCUGCGUCCGAUUAGCUCGUUGGUGGGGUAACGGCUCACCAAGGCGACGAUCGGUAGGUGGUCUGAGAGGGCGAUCACCCAGACUGGGACUGAGACACGGCACAGACUCCUACGGGAGGCAGCAGUCGGGAAUUUUGCGCAAUGGGCGAAAGCCUGACGCAGCAACGCCGCGUGAGGGAUGAAGGCCUUCGGGUUGUAAACCUCUUUUCCCAGGGACGAUGAUGACGGUACCUGGGGAAUAAGUCACGGCUAACUACGUGCCAGCAGCCGCCGUAAGAC
rnacentral:rRNA from 1 species